rnacentral:rRNA from 1 species
UGGGGGAUAUUGCGCAAUGGGGGCAACCCUGACGCAGCAACGCCGCGUGAAGGAAGAAGGUUUUCGGAUUGUAAACUUCUUUUAUUAAGGACGAAAAAUGACGGUACUUAAUGAAUAAGCUCCGGCUAACUACGUGCCAGCAGCCGCGGUAAUACGUAGGGAGCAAGCGUUGUCCGGAUUUACUGGGUGUAAAGGGUGCGUAGGCGGCUUUGCAAGUCAGAUGUGAAAUCUAUGGGCUCAACCCAUAAACUGCAUUUGAAACUGUAGAGCUUGAGUGAAGUAGAGGCAGGCGGAAUUCCCCGUGUAGCGGUGAAAUGCGUAGAGAUGGGGAGGAACACCAGUGGCGAAGGCGGCCUGCUGGGCUUUAACUGACGCUGAGGCACGAAAGCGUGGGUAGCAAACAGG